rnacentral:rRNA from 1 species
GACGAACGCUGGCGGCGUGCUUAACACAUGCAAGUCGAACGGAAAGGCCCUGCUUUUGUGGGGUGCUCGAGUGGCGAACGGGUGAGUAACACGUGAGUAACCUGCCCUGGACUUUGGGAUAACUUCAGGAAACUGGGGCUAAUACCGGAUAGGAGCUCCUGCUGCAUGGUGGGGGUUGGAAAGUUUCGGCGGUUGGGGAUGGACUCGCGGCUUAUCAGCUUGUUGGUGGGGUAGUGGCUUACCAAGGCUUUGACGGGUAGCCGGCCUGAGAGGGUGACCGGCCACAUUGGGACUGAGAUACGGCCCAGACUCCUACGGGAGGCAGCAGUGGGGAAUAUUGCACAAUGGGAGGAAGCCUGAUGCAGCAACGCCGCGUGCGGGAUGACGGCCUUCGGGUUGUAAACCGCUUUCGCCUGUGACGAAGCGUGAGUGACGGUAAUGGGUAAAGAAGCACCGGCUAACUACGUG